UGGGGAAUAUUGGACAAUGGGCGAAAGCCUGAUCCAGCCAUGCCGCGUGUGUGAAGAAGGUCUUCGGAUUGUAAAGCACUUUAAGUUGGGAGGAAGGGCAUUAACCUAAUACGUUAGUGUUUUGACGUUACCGACAGAAUAAGCACCGGCUAACUCUGUGCCAGCAGCCGCGGUAAUACAGAGGGUGCAAGCGUUAAUCGGAAUUACUGGGCGUAAAGCGCGCGUAGGUGGUAUGUUAAGUUGUAUGUGAAAUCCCCGGGCUCAACCUGGGAACUGCAUUCAAAACUGACUGACUAGAGUAUGGUAGAGGGUGGUGGAAUUUCCUGUGUAGCGGUGAAAUGCGUAGAUAUAGGAAGGAACACCAGUGGCGAAGGCGACCACCUGGACUAAUACUGACACUGAGGUGCGAAAGCGUGGGGAGCAAACA
rnacentral:rRNA from 1 species